AACGAACGCUGGCGGCAGGCUUAACACAUGCAAGUCGAGCGCCCCGCAAGGGGAGCGGCAGACGGGUGAGUAACGCGUGGGAACGUACCCUUUGCUACGGAAUAGCUCCGGGAAACUGGAAUUAAUACCGUAUGUGCCCUACGGGGGAAAGAUGUGUCGGCAAAGGAUCGGCCCGCGUUGGAUUAGCUAGUUGGUGGGGUAAUGGCCUACCAAGGCGACGAUCCAUAGCUGGUCUGAGAGGAUGAUCAGCCACAUUGGGACUGAGACACGGCCCAAACUACUACGGGAGGCAGCAGUGGGGAAUAUUGGACAAUGGGCGCAAGCCUGAUCCAGCCAUGCCGCGUGAGUGAUGAAGGCCUUAGGGUUGUAAAGCUCUUUCACCGGAGAAGAUAAUGACGGUAUCCGGAGAAGAAGCCCCGGCUAACUUCGUGCCAGCCGCCGCAGUAAAAC
rnacentral:rRNA from 1 species